UCCCUUACCGAAAGCGUCUUCUCCCCCUCCCUCUGCUAAUCCCUCUCCCCCCUUACAAAAGCAUAUCAUGGUUCUCUCCCCCGUCGACACCCCUCGAAGCGUGCCCUAAGAGGACCUAAAAAUCCCCCAUGAAAAUCCAUCUACCAAAGCCCUCUCCCCAGUCAAAUGGAACUUCCAACGGCAGUGGUGAAUCAGGUUUUGGGUUUGAUUUUAACUCAACCAGUUGGUGAUGAGGGAAAGUGCAAUGAUGAGGCAGACUUCGUCUCAUGGUCACAG